GGAGGAAGCAGGGGAUCGCAAGACCUUGCGCUUUUGGAGCGGCCGAUGCCUGAUUAGCUUGUUGGUAAGGUAAAAGCUUACCAAGGCUUCGAUCAGUAGCUGGUCUGAGAGGACGGCCAGCCACACUGGGACUGAGACACGGCCCAGACUCCUACGGGAGGCAGCAGUGGGGAAUUUUGGACAAUGGGGGCAACCCUGAUCCAGCCAUGCCGCGUGAGUGAAGAAGGCCUUCGGGUUGUAAAGCUCUUUCAGCCGGAACGAAACGGUUACGGUUAAUACCCGUGACUAAUGACGGUACCGGAAGAAGAAGCACCGGCUAACUACGUGCCGGCAGCCGCGGUAAUACGUAGGGUGCGAGCGUUAAUCGGAAUUACUGGGCGUAAAGCGUGCGCAGGUGGUUUUGUAAGUCAGGUGUGAAAUCCCCGGGCUCAACCUGGGAACUGCGUUUGAAACUACAAAGCUAG
rnacentral:rRNA from 1 species